AUCUAGCUGACGAGUCCUAAAUAGAGUGAAACGCGCGUCCUGGAU
rnacentral:hammerhead_ribozyme from 1 species